rnacentral:lncRNA from 1 species
UACAACUUCUAAGUUACUACUAUUCUUAUAAGAAAUGCCAAGGUUCUCAUCCAGGCCUAAGGAAGUGGUUUCACAAGGAGGCAACAUCCCAAGCAGCUGUGUGAGCCAGGUAUUACAAACUGAGAACCCUGAGCACUGAUGCGGCGGUCAAAUCCAACCUCCUUAAACCCAUUUAUUUUUAUUCUCUUUUCCUAAGACCUGGCCUCUGAUUCCUAGUGUAAGAUGACCAUCAUUCAGACUAUAAAAGUACAGCACACUAUUUAUCUAAAGUUCACACUUGAAUCCAUCUUCAUUCUCUGAAACACAGUCAUGAACCUAGAGGUAAGUGAAUAACGCCUGGCAUGAAGUCAGUGUUCAAUAAAGGUGUGUUCCUUUUUCCUCUGCCUCUCAGUCCCAAUGAUGAUGUCACAAAAUCAGGAUGUUACAGAAGAUCAUAAGCAUUUAGUCAGAAAACUCGGU